rnacentral:rRNA from 1 species
UUGGAGGGCAAGUCUGGUGCCAGCAGCCGCGGUAAUUCCAGCUCCAAUAGCGUAUAUUAAAGUUGUUGCAGUUAAAAAGCUCGUAGUUGAAUUUCGGGAUCAAUAUGUUGGUCGUGCCCUUGGUACGUACUAGUUUAUUGGUUUCUUCCUUCUGACGAACCAUGAUGUCAUUAAUUUGGUGUCUUGGGGAAUCAGGACUGUUACUUUGAAAAAAUUAGAGUGUUUAAAGCAGGCUCACGCUUGAAUACAUUAGCAUGGAAUAAUGAAAUAGGACGUUUGAUUCUAUUUUGUUGGUUUCUAGGAUCGACGUAAUGAUUAAUAGGGAUAGUUGGGGGCAUUAGUAUUCAAUUGUCAGAGGUGAAAUUCUUGGAUUUAUUGAAGACUAACUACUGCGAAAGCAUUUGCCAAGGAUGUUUUCAUUAAUCAAGAACGAAAGUUAGGGGAUCGAAGACGAUCAGAUACCGUCGUAGUCUUAACCAUAAACUAUGCCGACUAGGGAUCGGAUGAUGUUAAUUUUUUAAUGACUCAUUCGGCGCCUUACGGGAAAC